CUACGGGGGGCUCCAGUGGGGAAUUUUGCGCAAUGGGGGAAACCCUGACGCAGCAAUACCGCGUGAGUGAAGAAGGCCUUUGGGUCGUAAAGCCCUUUUCUUGGGGAAGAUAGUGACGGUACCCAAGGAAUAAGCACCGGCUAACUCCGUGCCAGCAGCCGCGGUAAUACGGAGGGUGCAAGCGUUGUUCGGAUUUACUGGGCGUAAAGGGCACGUAGGCGGCACAGCAAGUUAAGGGUGAAAUCCCGGGGCUCAACUCCGGAACUGCUCUUAAAACUGCUGAGCUAGAGAUAGUCAGAGGCGGGUGGAAUUCCAGGUGUAGAGGUGAAAUUCGUAGAUAUCUGGAGGAACACCGGUGGCGAAGGCGGCCCGCUGGGGCUAUUCUGACGCUAAGGUGCGAAAGCGUGGGGAGCAAACGGGAUUAGAUACCCCCGUAGUC
rnacentral:rRNA from 1 species